rnacentral:rRNA from 1 species
CCUACGGGAGGCAGCAGUGAGGAAUAUUGGUCAAUGGACGAGAGUCUGAACCAGCCAAGUAGCGUGAAGGAUGACUGCCCUAUGGGUUGUAAACUUCUUUUAUAAAGGAAUAAAACGAGGCACGUGUGCCUGUUUGCAGGUACUUUAUGAAUAAGGAUCGGCUAACUCCGUGCCAGCAGCCGCGGUAAUACGGAGGAUCCGAGCGUUAUCCGGAUUUAUUGGGUUUAAAGGGAGCGUAGGUGGGUUGUUAAGUCAGUUGUGAAAGUUUGCGGCUCAACCGUAGAAUUGCAGUUGAUACUGGCAGUCUUGAGAAGAGUUGAGGUAGGCGGAAUGCGUGGUGUAGCGGUGAAAUGCUUAGAUAUCGCGAAGAACCCCGAUUGCGAAGGCAGCUUACUAGCCUGUGACUGACGUUGAUGCUCGAAAGUGUGGGUAUCAAACAGGAUUAGAUACCCUUGUAGUC